UACGGGGGGGGCAAGCGUUGUUCGGAAUUACUGGGCGUAAAGAGCUCGUAGGCGGUUUGUCGCGUCGGCUGUGAAAACUCGGGGCUCAACCCCGAGCCUGCAGUCGAUACGGGCAGACUAGAGUGCUGUAGGGGAGACUGGAAUUCCUGGUGUAGCGGUGAAAUGCGCAGAUAUCAGGAGGAACACCGGUGGCGAAGGCGGGUCUCUGGGCAGUAACUGACGCUGAGGAGCGAAAGCGUGGGGAGCGAACAGG
rnacentral:rRNA from 1 species